rnacentral:tRNA from 1 species
GGCAUGAUAGCCCAAUGGUUAGAUCAUGCACUGUGAGUGGCAUAGUUCUGGGGUUGAGUCCCAGUCAAGCCA